rnacentral:rRNA from 1 species
UGAGGAAUUUUGCGCAAUGGGGGAAACCCUGACGCAGCAACGCCGCGUGAGUGAAGAAGGCUUUCGGGUCGUAAAGCUCUGUCGAGCGGGAAGAACCCUGUCAUGGUUAACAGCCAUGGCAGCUGACGGUACCGCUGGAGGAAGCACCGGCUAACUCCGUGCCAGCAGCCGCGGUAAUACGGAGGGUGCAAGCGUUAUUCGGAAUCAUUGGGCGUAAAGCGCGUGUAGGCGGCCUGGUAAGUCAGAUGUGAAAGUUUGGGGCUUAACUCCAAAAGUGCAUUUGAAACUAUUAGGCUUGAGUCCGGGAGAGGAAGGUGGAAUUCCCAGUGUAGAGGUGAAAUUCGUAGAUAUUGGGAGGAACACCGGUGGCGAAGGCGACCUUCUGGACCGAGACUGACGCUGAGACGCGAAAGCGUGGGGAGCAAACA